AUGUACCAGUUUGUCGACGACACACUGUACAGAAGAAGACUCAACGGCGUGAAAUUGAAGUGUAUUCACUGGGAGGACGGACAAAAGCUGUUGGCAGAGAUACAUGGAGGCAUAUGUGGUCACCACAUUGGCGCAAGAGCACUUGCCGGCAAAGCGUUCCGGCAAGGUUUCUUUUGGCCGACAGCCCUCCAGGAUGCAACUGCACAAGUAACCAAGUGUGAAGCGUGCCAGUUCCAUUCCAAGCAGAUACACCAGCCAGCUCAAGCUCUCCAGAUGAUCCCUUUAUCCUGGCCAUUUUUGGUCUAG
rnacentral:rRNA from 1 species